GUUUCGGACAGGUAAUGGCGGACAUGCGAUAGUUCGGGCUGACUUAUAUUCCAACAUAGGAAGUGUUAUAAACAGCUGAUCGGAUCGGCAAAGCCUGUUUCUGGAAUAUUGUGUUUUUGUUGCUGCAAGUCUGGAAUAUUAUGUUUUUGUUGCUGGAAGUGCUUUUUAUGCAAUUUUUUGCAAAGCUAUAUGUGGAAGAAAACCGUGACCUAGGGCAAGCUAAUGGAAUAAGAUAUGGCAGGAGUGACGCCCACUGUGGUCUUCUGCUGCUGCUUCAUCCGUUUUAAGGUUCAACUUGACACCCACGUGUGCUCUUCUGCAAACCUUGGCUGUAUCAGGUAAUUAUUUGAGUUAUUAUUGGCUUCCCAUUUUUUCUGAGAUUUUGCUCUGUGCUAACAUGGCACAUCACACAGUUGCUCCAGGUUUGUUGGCAGAUUUGUUGGCUCCUCUUCUAUCACAUCUCGACAGGUGUCCAAAGCAGGCUGGCCAUUCUUCUCUGACCUCUGGCAUCAACAAGCAUGUCUUUAUCCUAUUUUCCUUCUCUCACCCCAACCGGUCGCAGCAGAUGGCCCCGCCCCUCCCUGAGCCUGGUUCUGCCGGAGGUUUCUUCCUGUUAAAAGGGAGUUUUUCC
ensembl:lncRNA